CCUUUUUGAUACCAUAUUUUACUUCUUUAGCCCCAUUCUUUGAUUGCUUAUUUCUCUACUCCCCCUCAACAUAGCAAACAUAAAGGAUAUAUCAAUUUGCUCAUCUAGAAAAUAUUGCAAUUCAUAGUAUUUCUCAGCACUAAUAUGAGUUAUUUUUCAUAUCUCAUAAUUAAAAUAAUUCAAUUUGAUCACAUUCAUAGACAUUCAUUGAAAGUCAAAGCACAUAUAUAUAUAUAUAUUCAAAAGUGACUGAAUACAAAAGGUGUUCCAAUACACAUGAGUCAACUCAAAAUACAAAAGUCAUGGAUAGAAACUAUCCAAGAGUUAAUUAGCCAACAAAUACAAGGCCCAUAAGAUAGAUCCUAGAUAUAGGAGACAAACUAAUCUAGAUCUAAUAGAUGUCAUGGCUAGAGGAAUCAGAAUCUGAAGAAUCAGAGAUAGGGUGAGG
rnacentral:lncRNA from 1 species